rnacentral:rRNA from 1 species
UGGGGAAUAUUGCACAAUGGGCGCAAGCCUGAUGCAGCCAUGCCGCGUGUGUGAAGAAGGCCUUCGGGUUGUAAAGCACUUUCAGCGAGGAGGAAGGUGGUGAGCUUAAUACGCUCAUCGAUUGACGUUACUCGCAGAAGAAGCACCGGCUAACUCCGUGCCAGCAGCCGCGGUAAUACGGAGGGUGCAAGCGUUAAUCGGAAUUACUGGGCGUAAAGCGCACGCAGGCGGUUUGUUAAGUCAGAUGUGAAAUCCCCGGGCUCAACCUGGGAACUGCAUUUGAAACUGGCAAGCUAGAGUCUCGUAGAGGGGGGUAGAAUUCCAGGUGUAGCGGUGAAAUGCGUAGAGAUCUGGAGGAAUACCGGUGGCGAAGGCGGCCCCCUGGACGAAGACUGACGCUCAGGUGCGAAAGCGUGGGCAGCAAACAGGAUUAGAUACCCUGGUAGUCCACGCUGUAAACGAUGUCGAUUUUGGAGGUUGUGCCCCUUGAGGCGUGGGCUUCCGGAGCUAACGCGUUAAAUCGACCGCCUGGGGAGUACGGCCGCAAGGUUAAAACUUAAA